AAGAGUGUACAGAAAUAAGUCACAUGCAGACCAUAUUGAAAUACGCAGAGAAUUCCAUGGAGACUCUGAUGGCUAGGGCACCGUUGAGCUGUUGCAACUGUUCUGCUGAUUUCUAUCAUGGAAAAUAUCCCUGCAAGCAGUAACCACUAUUUGAAUGGUGAAAUCAGCAGCACAGCAAACAUGGUUCUUAAUGAGAUUGUUUUGCAUUUAAAAAUUUUAUGCACCAGGCAUUUUACAAUGCAAAUGAUCUUGCUUUUUAAGCCAAUAUUAUCCUUUUAAGAUAAUUUUGAUAAUGUAGAUAUCGUUCAUCGUGUUUUGAUAUAAGUUUUAAUCAGGCAAUAUUUCAAUUAGAUAGAAGUAUGUACAAAAGUAAUAAACUAUAUCUCUGAAUGAACAACUUGGUAUUAACACAUGGAAAUCUUUUUGCUGUAUUUUAGAUUUCUCUCUUCCUUACUUUUUCUUUCUUUAAUACUAGGAAACAUGACUGAUAGAGUAAAUCCUCACCUUUCAUCCCUUUCCUUCUCUCAUUCCCUAGAAGUAACCAUUACUCUGAAGUUAAUAUGUGUCAUUUCCAUGCAUGUUUUUACAAUUUUAUUAUUAAUGUAUCAUUCUGCAAAUAAUAUAAUUUAUGAGUAUUUAUAGUAUGUUAUCAAAUUCAACUAUAUUUAAAAUAUUCAUAUACACAACAAGUUGGAAAGAAUUUUACAGUGAGCACCUACAUACCUUUUACUUAGAUUUAUCAACAUUUUGCUAUUCUGGCUUUAUUACACACCCAUUAAUACAUAUUCGUUUUUGGAUGCAUCUCAGACUAAAUUGCAGAAAUCACUUACAUGUUCUUUUGCAAUUGCAUUUUUGCUCAUUAUAUUUAGUUGAUUUGUUUUAACUGUUAGUAAGUAAUUGAUUAAAACAGUAAACAUUUACCUAUAUCUACUAGUGGUUCGAAAUUAUAUGGACUAUAAUUUUUCGCUGUUAUUAAUAAUAGUGAAAUAAAUAUAAUUUCACGUCA
ensembl:lncRNA MIR924HG MIR924 host gene